CUUCAAAGCAUAUAUUUCCUUUACUUUCUGCUUUUGAGCCAUCAGAUUUCACAUUUUUAAGUUUCUCUCAAAAAAAAAAAAAGUGAAUGAUUUAUUUCUUGGUUCAGUUUCCAAAUGAAUUAACUUUAAGAAGGAAACAAAGCACCAAGGAAUGUGAGAUAAUAAAGCCUUCUGCAGUACUUUAAGUAACUGUAAUUUUCUGUCUUUGAUUUUUUUUGAAACCCAAACCUUGUUUCCACUAUAACAUCCUAUGUCAGUUAAAGCAGAGGAAUGUUUCAAAACAUAGCUCCCCAUUUUGUCAUCUUUAAGUUAAUUCAGCCUGCCCAGCCUCCUACUUCCUGACAGCAGAGAAUGUUGCUGCAUUAUUCAGAGCUGAAACUGUAGAUGCAGUUUUCUGAGAUCUAGAGGACUGUUCUGUGCCCUGACCUAAAGCAAAUGAUAGUUUAGAGAUCAGGCUCAAGCUUGUGUUUUUAUCUCCCCGGCUUUGUUAAGAGCUUGAUACUGGCUACAACUUUGUCCUUAAAAUAUAAGUCCUGGACGGCAAAUGAAUGGUGUAUCUUCUCUGCAUUGUCUCAGAAAGGAAGAGGCCUUGCAGUCAUUGAUGGCAUCUGAUUACAUCUAGAAAACCACAUGCUCAAGGGGCUAUAUUGCAACUAUGGCUCUCAGGGAGAGUGAAAAUUUUCUGAAUGAUAUGACCUGGAACACAGAAGAACAAAUACCAUACAAAUUCACUCAGAAGAUAAAAGGCAACAGUCUUGAUUCUGAAUGUGAUCUAUGAUGGCUUCAAAGCAAAAGAAUAAGUGCAAGACUGUUAUUCCCCUCCUACCCUCAUGUCUUCUUGAGGAAGAUUGGAACUGUCAGCCUU
rnacentral:lncRNA from 1 species